rnacentral:rRNA from 1 species
AAUCGACGCUGGCGGCGCGCUUAACACAUGCAAGUCGCACGAGAAAGGGAGCAAUCCUGAGUAAAGUGGCGUACGGGUGAGUAACACGUGGGAAUCUACCUCUUGGCGGGGAAUAACCCUGGGAAACCGGGGCUAAUACCGCAUAAGCUCGUGAGAGGAAAGCAGCAAUGCACCGAGAGAGGAGCCCGCGGCCGAUUAGCUAGUUGGUGGGGUAAUGGCUCACCAAGGCGAAGAUCGGUAGCCGGCCUGAGAGGGCACACGGCCACACUGGCACUGAAACACGGGCCAGACUCCUACGGGAGGCAGCAGUGGGGAAUCUUGCACAAUGGGGGAAACCCUGAUGCAGCGACGCCGCGUGAGCGAUGAAGCCCUUCGGGGUGUAAAGCUCUUUCGACAGGAACGAUAAUGACGGUACCUGGAGAAGAAGCUGCGGCUAACUACGUG